rnacentral:tRNA from 1 species
GUGGUUGUGGCUCAGAGGUACAGCACUCGCCUACCAAGAGUGAGGCACUGGGUUCGAGCCUCAGCACCACC